AGGUGGGACGGAGACAGCGACCAGUCCAGACUGGAGCAGUGUGACUCCGAGAAACUGCCGUGUCAUCACAAAGACCCCUGCUGCCAUGGUACUCCCUUCUUAUUCUGGGACGGGAUGCCCUGGUAAGGUACCCAGAUUCUACUCUGCACUCGGCUUGUCUUCACCACGGGCUGAUGAGUUCCUGCUCUCCCUGUGGAUGGUGAGUCCCUGGCUAUGCCCUGCUGACCUCAGUCAGCGGAGGGCACCCAUUUCACCCUUCAGAAGGGUGUGGCCUGGCCCUAUUCCUGGGAGCUGGAAGAGCCUUGGACAAGCUUACAACUGAACACUUCCUCUGACUGUAUUCCUGGACAUCCGGCCCCUGACUCAUACCUGCCCUACCAGAUCUUCCAGCUGGAGUGAAUGCUCUAUUUCUCACUCAAGGACCUUGCUCACUGACUUCCCAGCAGGAGCCCUUCAAGCCUCCAGAAGGUAGAGGUGCGGAGCCAGCACUCUGGCACUCAGAAGACAGGUGUACCCUGGAGAUGCACUUGGCAGUGGUGGCCAGAUGGAGAGCAAAGCCAAGGGAAUGGGUGAGCUUGCCUGGGAAGAGAAGGUGGAGUGGAAAGAGGAGACGUCUGGGGACAACAGAGGAGAAAGCAGACAGAUGCCACACCCAGCAUGGAGCCCAAUGCAGGGCUUGAACUCACAACCCUGAAAUCAAG